rnacentral:rRNA from 1 species
UACAGAGGUCCCAAGCGUUGUUCGGAUUCACUGGGCGUAAAGGGUGCGUAGGUGGCAUGGUAAGUUUGAUGUGAAAUCUCCGGGCUUAACCCGGAAAUGGCAUUGAAUACUACUGUGCUGGAGGUUUGGAGGGGGGACUGGAAUUCUCGGUGUAGCAGUGAAAUGCGUAGAUAUCGAGAGGAACACCAGUGGCGAAGGCGAGUCCCUGGACAACACCUGACACUGAGGCACGAAAGCUAGGGGAGCAAACAGGAAUUGAGAUACCCGGAG